rnacentral:lncRNA from 1 species
UUGUUUUCUUUUCUCUCUCUCUCUCUCUCUCUCUGUUCUUUUCUUGCUUUUGCUUUGAUGGGUAUGAUGGGCUGCUUCUUUUCUUUCUUUUCUGGUGUGUCUAAGCGUUUAUAAACAAGGCUGUGUGGCUUUAGAAAAAGGUGGUAAAAGUGCCCAGCCAGCUUACCACUCUUUCUUUAUUCAUCAAGAUCUUAUACGGAAACAAAGAUAAAUAGAUAUAUAUCUUCAUUAGCAUUGAGUAAUUUUCUUUCUUUUAUUUCUCUGGUUAAGUUAGAAUAAGAGUUUUUCUUUUUUCUUUAAUUGCCUUUUUUUAUAAUAAUUCUUAUUUGGAGUUUGAUUUUUCCAUACACUAGUUUUAACGGCUAAAGAUCAAUCUGGUCUCUCAAUUUAGAGUUUAU